GUUAUAUGUGAAUAAAUAAGCAGAAUAUAUGUAUAUAUCAGUAUAUAACAUACAACCCCAUAUAUUACCUUCAAUAGUUUAUGGAUAUACUGAAGUUGUUCCGGCAAUUCUUCUAUCGUAAAACGAAACUUUCCUACAGAGGUAUGCCAAAAAUCAUCUAAAUCAGCUUCUGGACUUACAGGUUCAUCGUUUUCGCCAAUCAAAUGUGGUUUUGCUACGCUUACCGUCGCGGUAGCUAAAAGCGCAUGUGUAUUUUUGUGUACUCGUUCAUAUAACAGACACAUAAAUUUCAAAAAUUAAAUAUAUAGUUAUUAAACAGAUGCGAUAUAAAAUAUUGUCUUACCGACAUCAGUUUCGGAUAACGUAACAGUUCUCGCGACAGCAGACAUGAUCUUCUCCGUUGGCAUAAUAGCUGCGAGAUCCAGCUGUUCCGAAACUGUCUCUACUGUGGCUGUCAUAAUCUGUUCGAAAAACUGACAUAAACGAUCAAAAUAGCUAAUCCGGUAACAUAGAUUAGCCUACCGUGUUUUGUGAUCAGGCCGUGUCGCAGAAGAAGAGACAAAGAGAGAAAGAGACAGAGAGAGAAAAGCACAUAUACGGACAUAUAUUGUGUGUAUGUAUUGAUAUAUAUACACACACGCACACAUAAUUAAAACAGUUCAAGUCUGGCAUGCGCUGCUUCAUUAACGGAGAAUUAGUGUGAAUAAGCAGCGAGCUUAUAGAGACGACAUGAUAUUUGUCUCAUUGCAAAACAAAAUCUUCAUUUCCAGUAAAAUCAUAGAAAUUUAAUCCUCAAUGAGACAAACAUCAAAUAUGUUAUUAGUUGGUGCUUGAGAGAAAGUUUGUCAUUAUAGAGAAUUUAUUUAUUAAAAAAUACAUACGUGUGGCAUGUGAACUAAAACUCCACCUACGGAAUGCAUUUCUGGCACUGGCAUGCUGAUAACUACAUCUGAUUUCGAAUCACUCUUUUUCGUUUCUGGUGAGCUCUUACGGCCAUAAUCUUCCGCUGUCUCAUCCACAAUUGUCUGAAAGAUAUAUAGAUUUAAUUAUCUUUUUUCAUUUUUGAUCUAUAAUGUUAAGAAUGUCAAAAGUAAUUUAUAAAUUGCCAUUUAUCAAUAUUUAUUCCACUAUUAUUAUAAUUAAUAAUCAAAUAAAUCCAAGUUUUAACUAACAUCAGGAGGAUACGCCGGAUUUUCCGGUGCCAUGUAAGUAAUCAAUUGCAGACACAAUUGAUGCCAAAUCACUCUCGACUCGCAAUAAGUGCAUUCGGUGUCCGAUACAUCGCAUAUAUGACAGUUGUUCCAAUUAGAUGCAACUAUGGAUUUCAUCAAAUGGCAAGCAUCUCGGCAAACCCAGCAAUAUAUCGAGCAUGAGAAUACAACAAGAUAAAUUAAGUUCGGCAUUUGUCGAAAAUUCCAUAUGUCUUGGUGUUGGUACCAUAUCAUCGGACAGUGGUGUCGACUUUCCCGAAUCAUUUUCCACUAUGGAACCUAGAUAUUUUAAAAAUAUAUUUUCAGAAAUCACAUAAUAUUCAGGUCGUAAAGAGAUUUGCAAAAGAAAUCUCGUUCAAUAUAUAAUUAAUUCUUGCCACAUUUGUCGCAAAAAUAUUAUGAACUUUGAGAUAUUAAUUUUUAAUCAACAGAGAAUGCGAUUGCAAUUGAAAUAUUCAUAUUUUUUCGUGUGUAUAUAUGUAUAUUACUCAAACUUUUGUCUUGUACACUCAUUACGUAUUAAUUACGAGAGAUAUAUUUUAAUAUCGUCAAUAUACUAGGGAAUAGCUUUAGAAUAUGACACAAAAAAUGUAUUAUAAUCCUAAUUACAUACAUGUAAUAUUUCCAUCGUUAUCCUUUGUAGAUUUGCUUGGUUUUAAUUCCGAUUCCGCACAACUCAUCGAUUGCAUUACGGCAACUCCGUCACUGAAUAUCGAAAACAGUUGGUCCAGAGGCAUAGUUAUUUCCAGCAUACUCUGAAAGUUCAUGUUCAGGAACAUCAUUUACUAUUGCUUCCAUCCAAUGUGGCAUUACGUAAUCCCAUACAUCGGACGUGAUCACUUCAUAUGGUACCAAACAAAAUAGCCGAUGAAGUCCGUCUUUCAAAUGUGACGUUCGUGAAGCCAAGGUUUCCCUUUCACAAAUAAUUUUAAUUAUAUUCAUGUAAUG